CCCCUGCAUUAAAUUUUCGCUACACUCGUAAAUCAAGUAGGAUCUCCUAUCCUCCUUAAAAGUACUUAGGUUUUCUUACAGAGAAUUUAAAAGAAGCAUUCCUUGUGGGAGAUAAGGACAUUAGGAAUGAUCCCAAGAUCUACAGUGAGGUAAUAUUAGAUAUUGACUUCGAAAAAUGGAUAGAAGCGAUGAAGUCAGAAAUUGA
rnacentral:lncRNA from 1 species